GACGAACGCUGGCGGCGUGCUUAACACAUGCAAGUCGAACGGAAAGGCCCUGCUUGCAGGGUACUCGAGUGGCGAACGGGCGAGUAAGACGUGGGUGAUCCGCCCUGCACUUCGGGAUAAGCCUGGGAAACUGGGUAUAAUACCUGAUAGGAGCCACUUCCAGCGUGAGGGUUGGAAAGUUUUUUCGGUGUUGGAUGAGCUCGCGGCCUAUCAGCUUGUUGGUGGGGUAAUGGCCUACCAAGGCGACGGGGGGUAGCCGGACUGCGAGGGUGGACGGCCACAUUGGGACUUAGGUGCGGCCCAGAUUCCGACGGGAGGCAGCAGGGGGCAAGAUUGCACAAGGGGCGCAGGGUUGAUGCAGCGGCGCCUCGUGUGGUAUAACGGCCUUCUUGUUGUAAACUCCUAUCGCGAGGAACGAAGCUUUUUGUGACGGUACCUAGAUAAGAAGCACCGGCUAACUACGUG
rnacentral:rRNA from 1 species